rnacentral:ncRNA from 1 species
UAAUGAAAAAGGCAAACUAUGGGAAACUGUAGGACGCAAAGCAAGGAGUCUAAAGCUUAGUUUUAAGCAAUGAUAGUCCAGCCGCCAUA